GAUGAACGCUAGCGGCAGGCCUAACACAUGCAAGUCGAGGGGCAGCACAGAAACAGCAAUGUUUUGGUGGCGACCGGCGGACGGGUGCGUAACGCGUAUGCAACCUACCUUUAACAGGGGGAUAACGGAGAGAAAUUUCCACUAAUACCCCAUAACAUCGAUCAAGGCAUCUUGAUUGGUUGAAAACUCCGGUGGUUAAAGAUGGGCAUUGGUUGUAUGGGGUAGUUGGUGAGGUAAUGGCUCACCAAGCCUACGGUACAUAGGGGGACUGAGAGGUUAGCCCCCCACACUGGUACUGAGACACGGACCAGACUCCUACGGGAGGCAGCAGUGAGGAAUAUUGGCCAAUGGGGGCAACCCUGAACCAGCCAUGCCGCGUGCAGGAAGACGGCUCUAUGAGUUGUAAACUGCUUUUAAACAGGGAUAAAGCACAGUAUGUAUACUGUGUUGAAGGUACUGUAAGAAUAAGGAUCGGCUAACUCCGUGCCAGCCGCCGCAGUAA
rnacentral:rRNA from 1 species